rnacentral:tmRNA from 1 species
GGGGGCGAAACGGCUUCGACGGGGAUAAAGAAGCACAUGCUGCAUACCGAGCGCCUGUCAGCUCGUAAAACCGGACGGGAACUAAACAUAAUCGCAGACGAUUAUAACUACGCCCUGGCUGCCUAGCAGCCAGCGUCCUACCGGAUGAAACCUGCUAGUCCGGAUAGGGCGCCGAUCAGCAGGAGAGCCGAUCCCGGAUUCCUGAUAGGGGGUAGGUGAAACUUUUUCAGGAUAGCCUUUCGGAAAUCUAGCCUGAAAGAUCCUCGAAGGGCGAACUAACCAGUUCAGGAUAUGUAUGUAGAUGCAGGUGCGGAAUAUUUUCGGACGCGGGUUCGACUCCCGCCGCCUCCACCA